AUGAACGCUGGCGGCGUGCUUAACACAUGCAAGUCGAACGAUGAUGCCCACUUGUGGGUGGAUUAGUGGCGAACGGGUGAGUAACACGUGAGUAACCUGCCCUUGACUCUGGGAUAAGCCUGGGAAACUGGGUCUAAUACCGGAUAUGACUGACUAUCGCAUGGUGGUUGGUGGAAAGCUUUUGUGGUUUUGGAUGGACUCGCGGCCUAUCAGCUUGUUGGUGGGGUAAUGGCCUACCAAGGCGACGACGGGUAGCCGGCCCGAGAGGGUGACCGGCCACACUGGGACUGAGACACGGCCCAGACUCCUACGGGAGGCAGCAGUGGGGAAUAUUGCACAAUGGGCGCAAGCCUGAUGCAGCGACGCCGCGUGAGGGAUGACGGCCUUCGGGUUGUAAACCUCUUUCAGUAGGGAAGAAGCGAAAGUGACGGUACCUGCAGAAGAAGCGCCGGCUAACUACGUGCCAGCAGCCGCGGUAAUACGUAGGGCGCAAGCGUUAUCCGGAAUUAUUGGGCGUAAAGAGCUCGUAGGCGGUUUGUCGCGUCUGCCGUGAAAGUCCGGGGCUCAACUCCGGAUCUGCGGUGGGUACGGGCAGACUAGAGUGAUGUAGGGGAGACUGGAAUUCCUGGUGUAGCGGUGAAAUGCGCAGAUAUCAGGAGGAACACCGAUGGCGAAGGCAGGUCUCUGGGCAUUAACCUGACGCUGAGGAGCGAAAGCAUGGGGAGCGAACAGGAUUAGAUACCCUGGUAGUCCAUGCCGUAAACGUUGGGCACUAGGUGUGGGGGACAUUCCACGUUUUCCGCGCCGUAGCUAACGCAUUAAGUGCCCCGCCUGGGGAGUACGGCCGCAAGGCUAAAACUCAAAGGAAUUGACGGGGGCCCGCGCAAGCGGCGGAGCAUGCGGAUUAAUUCGAUGCAGCGCGAAGAACCUUACCAAGGCUUGACAUGGACCAGACCGGGCUGGAAACAGUCCUUCCCCUUGUGGGUUGGUUUACAGGUGGUGCAUGGUUGUCGUCAGCUCGUGUCGUGAGAUGUUGGGUUAAGUCCCGCAGCGAGCGCAACCCUCGUUCUAUGUUGCCAGCACGUGAUGGUGGGGACUCAUAGGAGACUGCCGGGGUCAACUCGGAGGAAGGUGGGGACGACGUCAAAUCAUCAUGCCCCUUAUGUCUUGGGCUUCACGCAUGCUACAAUGGCCGGUACAAAGGGUCGCGAUACUGUGAGGUGGAGCUAAUCCCAAAAAGCCGGUCUCAGUUCGGAUUGGGGUCUGCAACUCGACCCCAUGAAGUCGGAGUCGCUAGUAAUCGCAGAUCAGCAACGCUGCGGUGAAUACGUUCCCGGGCCUUGUACACACCGCCCGUCACACCAUGGGAGCGGGUUCUGCCAGAAGUAGUUAGCCUAACCGCAAGGAGGGCGAUUACCACGGCAGGGUUCGUGACUGGGGUG
rnacentral:rRNA from 1 species